rnacentral:ncRNA from 1 species
GAUUAUCGAAGGANUAAGCCUUAAUUCAUAAUC